UCCUACGGGGGGCAGCAGUGGGGAAUAUUGCACAAUGGGGGGAACCCUGAUGCAGCGACGCCGCGUGAGCGAAGAAGUAUUUCGGUAUGUAAAGCUCUAUCAGCAGGGAAGAAAAUGACGGUACCUGACUAAGAAGCCCCGGCUAACUACGUGCCAGCAGCCGCGGUAAUACGUAGGGGGCAAGCGUUAUCCGGAUUUACUGGGUGUAAAGGGAGCGUAGACGGUUCUGCAAGUCUGAAGUGAAAGCCCGUGGCUUAACCGCGGAACGGCU
rnacentral:rRNA from 1 species